rnacentral:lncRNA from 1 species
AGCAGAUUCAUUCAACAUGGAUUGGCUCUCGUUGGGACCAGCGUCCUGCUAAACAAUGAUGAGGAAGGGGUUGACGUAAAGAUGAAAAAGACCUUAAGUUUCUACUGAGGCAUAUUGGAGAUGCCCCAGGAAGAGAAAGAACAAGGCCUGCUCACAUGCCCCACAGUGGAUCCCUCUAUUGGUCCUUGAUUGAUAAAAUGGACAGACUGAGGAUAUCCUUGUCCUGACACUUGAUGACUUCAUGGAUAAGUACCUAUAGCUCUCUAAGCC